AGCGAUUUUGUCACUUUUCGAUGUUCUUAAUGGCAUUUUCUAAUUGAUUUUAGGCACGGGAGGCUGCUGUGUCCGCCACACAAGACGAUACCGGCGAGUAAAAGACGAUAAAAUUAAACGAGAAAGAUUGCAAAAGCUCGAAUGAGUCUCCGGUGAUUGUGUACGUUAUAGAGGUCUCGCGUGCAAGCACGUACACGGGAGCAAAAAUGGCACAGCGCGUGGACAGGAUCGUGGUCUGUUGGAACAAAGAUGUUGGCGAUUCUUGGAUAUUCGCACGUUUGUGAACACGC